rnacentral:rRNA from 1 species
AUUGAACGCUGGCGGCAUGCCUUACACAUGCAAGUCGAACGGCAGCACGGGGCAACCUGGUGGCGAGUGGCGAACGGGUGAGUAAUGCAUCGGAACGUACCUUUCAGUGGGGGAUAACGUAGCGAAAGUUACGCUAAUACCGCAUAUUCUGUGAGCAGGAAAGCAGGGGAUCGCAAGACCUUGCGCUGAUUGAGCGGCUGAUGUCAGAUUAGCUAGUUGGUGAGGUAAAGGCUCACCAAGGCGACGAUCUGUAGCGGGUCUGAGAGGAUGAUCCGCCACACUGGAACGGAGACACGGUCCAGACUCCUACGGGAGGCAGCAGUGGGGAAUUUUGGACAAUGGGGGCAACCCUGAUCCAGCCAUGCCGCGUGAGUGAAGAAGGCCUUCGGGUUGUAAAGCUCUUUCGGCCGGGAAGAAAUCGCACGGGCUAAUACCCUGUGUGGAUGACGGUACCGGGAUAAGAAGCACCGGCUAACUACGUGCCAGCCGCCGCCGUAAUAC